AUUGAACGCUGGCGGCACGCCUUACACAUGCAAGUCGAAUGGUAACAGGUCUUCGGAUGCUGACGAGUGGCGAACGGGUGAGUAAUACAUCGGAACGUGCCCGAUCGUGGGGGAUAACGAAGCGAAAGCUUUGCUAAUACCGCAUACGAUCUACGGAUGAAAGCAGGGGACCGCAAGGCCUUGCGCGAACGGAGCGGCCGAUGGCAGAUUAGGUAGUUGGUGGGAUAAAAGCUUACCAAGCCGACGAUCUGUAGCUGGUCUGAGAGGACGACCAGCCACACUGGGACUGAGACACGGCCCAGACUCCUACGGGAGGCAGCAGUGGGGAAUUUUGGACAAUGGGCGAAAGCCUGAUCCAGUCAUGCCGCGUGCAGGAUGAAGGCCUUCGGGUUGUAAACUGCUUUUGUACGGAACGAAAAGACUCUGGUUAAUACCUGGGGUCCAUGACGGUACCGUAAGAAUAAGCACCGGCUAACUACGUG
rnacentral:rRNA from 1 species